UACACACACACACACACAGAGAUAUUUUAUUUUACUUUUUUUGUGUAUUUUUUAUAUGAGCGAGGGGUCAGUUUGUAUUGGAACAUUCGAGACAAUAAACAAACCACCCUUUCAGAAUUCUCUCCCUUCUCUCUCUUCGAUACUGUUCACCGUCUCUUUUCUUCUCCAAAUCCAUGGCUUCCAUGGACAUUAACAUGGUAUCAGAGCGGGUCAUUCGACUCUUCUCGUCAAGAGCUAUCAUCCGGUACUAGCCUCGUCGUCUAUCGUUCAAGUUUUCACCAGUUUUCACAAACUAGGGUUUUCUUCGUUUUUCUUCGCAGUCGGUUAGUAUCUCUUCUUCGAUUCAUCAAUUUUGAA
rnacentral:lncRNA from 1 species